CGUCAGAAUGUGCGCCGCUAACUGCUUUGUUGACUAUUCUGUGCAAUGGCGGAUGUAGCCCAAAUCGUGCUUAUAAUAACUGUGCUGCUAACAGGGCUUCUAACAUGUAUACCGAUACAUGAUCAGUUAUAUAACUAUGUUGAGGAACAAAGGAGUCAGAAUGCAAUUCUACGCAGGGCACUGCUAAUGACAACACUCGUCCCGCGACACAGACCCCCGCCACCGGUUUUGGACGAGACCCGGUCGGACCUCUAGUUGGUAUUGGGUGUUCCUGUAAAGGAUCUACACUUUGCUUUGUGCUCUGUAUCAAAGGCUCUGUAGUAAAUGUGAAUGUGGCAGUGUAAGGGGUGUUCAGUAGCAGUUGCAAGUAGGUCCGAGCUACUUAACCAUUACAAACUCAAACAUCCACAUUUUGGACGUACUGUCCGCUAUCCAUGUACAUAUUGGAAAUGUCCAUGCUCAUUCAAGACAUGGAAUGCUUUAAUCGUUCAUCAAAGAGUGCAUUCCACACACGUUUGUCACACUCAAAAAGAGCUGUAUACUUUCAGCUGUCACUUAUGUACAUGUAAACAUUUAUCAAAUGAAAGGGAGUUCUUUGUUCAUAUCAACACCCAUCUGAGGAAAAAUGAAAACGUUUGUUGGCUGUAGUUUUCAAACUAGCAUUUAUGGAACCUUUAAGUCUCAUAAGAGCCGCCAACACACACCUCACACACUAACUAAACAACAACAUUACCACCUCCAUCAGUACAGGAUUCAAUUGCUGAUUGCCAGGAUGAUGAGUCUGUAGACGAGGAAGUUUCUGGGACAUCCCUAGAUCCAGGUCAACAGCAGGACUUCCUUCAUCCAAGCCAUGGAGGAGGCCUGUGACCAGAUGGAGGUAGCAGCAAUGCAAGGAUGGAUUCGUCAUUCAAGACGUUUCUUUCCAAGGCGCAGGGAGGCGACCCUUUUGUCACUCCAAUGUAGCAGCACUCAGCCGGGGACUUAUGAGUGCGCCUCACACCAUGGGCCACUCCAGAGUAGAAUAGUGUCCAUCCCCUAUCCAGGAGUGUGGUUCCAGAGCCGAGGCUGUGCGUAGAGGUAAGCCCCACCAGAUCCAACUGAUAACGCUCCACCUCCCGCACAAGCUCCGGCUCCUUCCCCCCCCACAGAGGUUAGGUUCCACGUCCACAGAGCCAGCCUCUGCCUCCCAGGUCUGUUCCGUCUAGACCCCCCACGGUCACUGCCACCCUUGUAGCAGCGUGGGUUUCCCCCACAGGUGGUGAGCCCAUGGGGAGUAGAGUCUUGGGUUGCUGCGUCACUCCUUCAGGCUGUCCCCGGCCGGGCUCCGCGGCAAGCCCGGCCACCAGACGCUCGCUGUCGGGCCCUCCAUCUGGGCCUGGCUCCAAAUGGGGGCCCUGGGCUUCCUCCGGGCCGGGUAACUCCUUCCCUCUUCAGUUUUUUUUAAUAGGGUCAUGAAUAAUAACGGAGUAUAUUUUUAGAUGCCACGUAGAUGCUCUUAUUGCCAGUCUCAGGCGGUUAAGAGGGUGUGGGAUGGUUGUGAGCGAAUGACGCCUGAAAAUCCUCACCUUGUUUCUAUAGCUCCUGAAAUAGGACGUCGUCAUGCAGUGAAGCCAUGGCCAAUUUCCACCUUCACUGGAAAGCAAAAAAAGUAUAAGUUUUCCUUAUGGUUGAAAUGCACUAAAUGACACGUAAUGUUUGUUAGUUUGUACUGCUUGUAGGAGCCUCCCAUCUGCGAAGCAUUGUCGAUGGUUUUGUGGUGACUCCAGCAGAUCUUUCCAUUGGCAUCAUGUCUACUCUGGGGGCCUGUGCAAAGCACUUACGGACUGAGGUGCUGAAUGCUGUUGUGCCCGGUCAUCCAGAUGUUGUUGUCCUUUUGGGGCCAGGAAAUGACUUGACCUGGGGUAAUACAUCUUCAGAUGUUGUGUAAUUUGUUAGCUUGAGUUAGGAAUUGAGAAAAUUGAUUUACUGAACAUCUAUAUAUUUUUUUGGUGGUAGUGGUGGAUUUUCCUCAGAUACCAAGGUUUGUCCUCACAUGAGCUUUGGUGCAGAGACAAUUUGAGUUAAAUAUGCAGAUGUGUAGAAGUGUGAUUUACACAAAUAGUUAGAUUGUAGCUAUCCAGAUCCAUAUUGAUUGACACCAUACGUGUAGAGGCUAGUGAAUUGGCUGUAACAUCUAAAGAAUUGGGUGUGUUUCUGAAACAGAACGCUGUGUUUGACAUAAGCGGGGGCAGUUGAUUUGGGCAAGCCAGAGAGGUACAGCUUGCAGGGGUUGACCAAUGAGUCUGUGGUAAAGGAAAAGAUGAAAUGUUCGAUAGAGAUGGAAUGCGUUAUUGUGCCUUAAUGGAGCAGUCAGUCACACGAAAAGUACUUUGUGGUUGUAGAUUUUGCCGUACGUAAUGACUCUGGGCUGUCAUGUGAAUUUGGCCGGUCUGUGGCACACCAUGUCAGGCAGCUGUGAUGGUGACAGCAGUGGUGACAUGAAUGUUGCAAUUGAUUUUCAGGCAAGCAGUUCUGUCGACAACAGCAUGAAUGUUUCAACUGAUGUUGAAGGAAGCAGUUCUGUCAGGGACGAUAGGAGUAUAAGGAGAUCCUUUCACCAGGGUGAUGACAGGUUUGAGUUUGGAGGAGUUCAGUGCAUGGCCACAGCACUGUUUCGUAUGGCAAAACAGUCAAGAGAGUGUUUUGUCAUUUAGGUGUCAGUUGUACAAAGAUUUGCGAAAAGAAAUCUUCAGCAGCAGGUCUGGUUGGUUGUGUGUUUCUGAUUUUCCCAAGCAGAGACUUGUUGACGGACAAGAGUUUACCUUUCAUUAGGGUAGGGACUUUGUGUCAGGAGAUGUUGUUGAAGGUAUACUCAGAAUGGUAGCUACUCCGGUCUUCUGACGCUGUGUUGCAAUACAUGCGCAAUCAUUCGUGACAAUGGACAGUAUGCAGUGGUUGACUCGCAUGCACGCAAUGCUUGUGGCAUGGUUUAUGGAGAGGGAAAGUGUUCUUGUAUAUUUUUCUUCAAUGGAAGGUGUAUUCCAGGACAUUUUCCUUUUAGUCUCAAGGGUUUGGUAAUCAGCUAAAGUCUUUUGCGAUAAGUGGUGUUCGUGUCACAGACUGCCUCCGUUUGAAAAACCAACAGCUCUGUGUACCAAUCCUAUAACAUUUGGAAAUGCUUUGUCCGAAGUCUGUUCAGAACGCGUUGGGAUCAAAUGUACAAAAGCUGAACGAUAAAACAUCUCAAGCCAAUUCAGAUGUUGAAUUUAUCCAUGAAGUUGUACAAAACAACCUGAAGCAUGUCACAAGCUCUAUGCAAAGAUUUAAAAAUGAAAUAUGC
ensembl:lncRNA